UGUGGAUGAGGCUGUUGGUGGUGGUGAUGGUGAUGAUGAUGAUGAUGAUGAUGAGGUCUCGCAUCGGAAAGCAACACAUUUGGUCUCAUAUGAGCUGAAACGGAAGACGCUGCCCGACAGCAGGAAGGUCUAGAUAACGAGCUCUUUUUUUCCAACGGUCAGCUCAAAUAAUCCCAACAAGCCGAACCACGUGCUCAAACCCACCGCCAGGUCGUAGGUCGUAUCGGUCCGUCUACAGUCCCACCUGUCCCUGGUGCUUUCCUCCUGUUCACCUUUUGUGAAAGACAGCGAGCUCUGAUUGGUCCAGGUCCAACGUGUAGUCUGCCACGUCACUCGGCCAAGUCAUGGCAAGAAUUUAUGACUAAUGACCGUUUAAUGUGACAAAGCGACCGUUUCAUAUGAUGCAGUCUGACCCUGGCGUUAGAUCUGGAAUAUCAAACAGAUGAUAAAGUUGACACAAGAACACUUAGAGGCCCUUCUGGACAAGUUUGGAGGAGAACACAAUCCUCCUUCCAUAUAUCUAGAGGCCUAUGAGGAGUACACCAGUAAACUGGACGCCCUGCAGCAGAGGGAGCAGCAGCUGCUGGAGGCCAUGGGCAACGGCACCGACUUCUCCUGCUCUCCGACCUCCGUGCCGGCCCUGCUGGAGGUCAAGAUGGGAGGUUGUGGGGCCGCAGGGGGGGCUCAGGCCUUUCCCUCAGCCCCCAACACCUUGGCCGUUCUGCAGACUCCCUUCGACGCUAGCCGGGCCAACCCUCGCUCCCCCCAGAAGCCCAUCGUCAGGGUCUUCCUGCCCAACAAACAGAGAACAGUGGUGCCGGCCCGCUGUGGGAUGACUGUGAGAGACUCGCUGAAGAAAGCUCUGAUGAUGCGAGGCCUCAUCCCAGAGUGCUGUGCAGUCUACCGGGUACAGGACGGAGAGAAGAAGCCGAUUGGCUGGGACACAGACAUCUCCUGGCUGACAGGAGAGGAGUUACACGUAGAAGUGUUGGAGAAUGUUCCGCUCACCACACACAACUUUGUGAGGAAGACCUUCUUCACGCUGGCCUUCUGUGACUUCUGCAGAAAGCUGCUGUUCCAGGGUUUCCGCUGUCAGACCUGCGGCUACAAGUUCCACCAGCGCUGCAGCACCGAGGUUCCCCUCAUGUGUGUCAACUACGACCAGCUAGACUUGUUGCUAGUGUCCAAGUUCUUCGAGCAUCACCCGUUUACCCAGGAGGAGGUCUGCUCGGAGGGAACCACCCCCGUGUCUGAGGCCUGUCCAUCACUUCCCCCAUCCGACUCCACCGGGUCUAUAUGCCACGCCACUGUGUCCCCGUCCAAGUCCAUACCCAUCCCGCCCAGUUUCCGGCCCAACGAGGAGGACCACCGCAACCAGUUUGGCCAGCGGGACCGUUCGUCCUCCGCCCCCAACGUCCAUAUCAAUACCAUCGAGCCGGUCAACAUCGAUGACCUGAUUCGAGAUCAGGGCUUGCCGAGGUCCGAUGGAGCCCCCCCGACCCACCCCGCCCGCUGCUUGAGGAAGCACCGAACACGGACCUCAAGCCCCCUCCUAUACUCCUACCCCAAUGACAUAGUGUUUGAUUUUGAGCCCGAGCCUGUUUACCGAGGCUCCACCGCCGGGCUGUCGGCCACGCCUCCCGCCUCUUUACCCGGCUCUCUGACCAAUGUCAAGGCUCCGCAGAAGUCGCCGUGCCAACAGAGGGAGCGCAAGUCGUCGUCCUCGUCCGAGGACCGCAAUAAGAUGAAAACCCUGGGGAGACGGGACUCCAGCGACGACUGGGAGAUCCCCGAGGGUCAGAUCACACUGGGUCAGAGGAUAGGCUCGGGCUCCUUUGGAACCGUCUACAAGGGGAAGUGGCACGGUGACGUGGCGGUGAAGAUGUUGAACGUCACCGCUCCAACACCGCAGCAGCUUCAGGCCUUCAAGAAUGAAGUGGGAGUCCUCAGGAAAACGCGUCACGUGAACAUCCUGCUGUUCAUGGGCUACACCACCAAGCCUCAGCUGGCCAUCGUGACCCAGUGGUGUGAAGGCUCCAGCCUCUACCACCACCUGCACAUCAUCGAGACCAAGUUUGAGAUGAUCAAGCUGAUCGACAUCGCCCGGCAGACCGCUCAGGGCAUGGAUUACCUGCACGCCAAAUCAAUCAUCCACAGAGAUCUGAAGAGCAACAAUAUUUUCCUCCACGAGGAUCUGACGGUGAAGAUCGGUGACUUUGGUCUGGCUACGGUCAAGUCCCGCUGGAGCGGCUCCCACCAGUUUGAGCAGCUGUCUGGCUCCAUAUUGUGGAUGGCUCCGGAGGUGAUCCGGCUGCAGGACAAGAAUCCCUACAGCUUCCAGUCAGACGUCUACGCGUUCGGCGUCGUGCUGUACGAGCUCAUGUCGGGAGCGCUGCCCUACUCCAACAUCAACAACAGAGACCAGAUCAUAUUCAUGGUGGGUCGAGGUUACCUGUCUCCUGACCUCAGCAAGGUGCGCAGCAACUGUCCAAAGGCCAUGAAGAGACUGAUGGCCGACUGCCUGAAGAAGAAGAGAGAGGAGCGACCUCUCUUCCCUCAGAUCUUGGCGUCCAUCGAGCUGCUGGCUCGCUCAUUACCCAAAAUCCACCGCAGCGCCUCGGAGCCUUCGCUAAACCGAGCCGGCUUUCAGACGGAGGACUUCAGCUUGUACGCCUGCGCCUCACCCAAAACCCCCAUCCAGGCCGGCGGCUACGGGGAGUUUUCGGCGUUUAAAAGGGAUCCUCACUGGAGAGUCCUUCCAACGAGACGCUGCUGUCCAGCAGGCGAACAGCCACAGACAACAACUCAAUUAGGAAUCUAAAUACUAAAGACACCUCACAAAGAAACGCAAAGAUAUCCAUAUACCACAACGGUUCUGAGGAGGAGACGGCAAACUCCACCAGCCUGCUGGAGGGGAAAGAUGAAGGAGAGACGGAGGAGGAGGAGGAGGAGGAGUCGAGGCUGAGGGCGCCCCUCGUCCCAUCGUUUCCUGUGAAGCCGGAGGCCGCCGACGCUGAACUGCUCUGAGAGCGACGGCAGACACGAGGCCCGAGGAAGGAGAAGAGGCCUUCCGUCCAUCGGUUGAGAUAGGAGGCCGGGCGUUAGCCGAUACCGAGAUGAGCCGGAGGUUAUUAACCCACGAAGGAAAGCUGACUUGAAAGAUAGAUCUAGUUUAAUUUUUAAUUUGUUUCAGAUUUAAGCUAGCCCUUGUUAGGAAUGCUGAGCUUCUUCCUUUUGUCCUUUGUUUCUUUUGAAGAGAUGGUAGCUAUUGUAGAAGGAAGCUUUCUUUCUGGUCACGCAGCACAGGCCUUCUGCUUUUUCUUUUUUGUCUUUGUGGGCUCAAACUUCUUCAACACCCGCGAGGAAAACGGCAACAGCUGUUUAUCGACUGACACAUUUCUGCUCUACCUUUUCAAAAAAAAAAAAUUCAAAACCUUCAAAUGAAAGCAGGAAGAGAAGAGAAGAGAAGCAGUUCCUUCCGUAGAGUUCUGGUAGAUUCUUCUGCCGAGGAGAGGAGCUGUUCUUCUUCUGGAGGAAGAAUGCUCAUUUGUUUUGGUGAUGAGACAUGAGAUGGAUUCCUUGUUCCGUUUUAAGAAGCCAACACAUGAAGAUGUUAGUUAGCAAGCGGGAGAGGUGUGGGAAAGAGACGCUCUACCUUUUUCAAAGGUUUUCAUGUCACUGUGAAAGCAGCGGAAGCGUGACGUGUUGAGCGACCACAGGAGCCGUUCACAGGGAGGAUGAAUGCAGAUGUGUUUUACUGUGUUUAAAGAGCCGGGUCUGAGCCCAGCUGGCGUCCAGCGUUUCCACGGAGCUGAGGAGUGUGUACAGGAAGUUGGGACAUAUUUACUACAAAGCUUUUCCUUUGCUUCACCUUUUUCCCACAAAACCCAACUUUUGUUUAGUUUUAUUUGAAUACCAAGUGCAUGUCGUGUCGUUGUUGCUUCUCCUUCUUUCUGUCCUCAUGUGGCUUUAAUAUUGCACUCACCUGAACAUGGGGACCUUCCUGUUGCAGCUGCUGACUGACCGGCUGCAGCGUUACCUGCUGAACGGACCGCCGAUCCUCUGGAGAGUCAAUCACACCUUUUUACUUUCUCUACACACGUGCACCUGUACUUUGUGUUUUCAUUCCAGCGUGUGUUGAGGGUUGUAGGUGUUCUUAUUAUUUGGUUCUCGUCGAUGUUUGCCUUCUUCUGUACAGGCAGGCCUGCAGAUAGAUUUACUUUAUUUAUGUCAACUCUUUGUUUGAAGGAUUGAUUUUUCUUUAUUUGAAGCUAUCAGUCUUUCUUUUUGUUGACGCUUGUUUUAGUCUUUGUGACUCGUGUACUUUGCACUUUGUAGAGAUGGAUUGAAGCAAAUGAGCGACUUGCCUUUUUCUUUUUUUAUUGAAGAAUAAAUUGUGACGUACCGAGCUGAUGACCCAAAAUUAAAUUUCCAAUGCGUGAGCCAUGUGCAGGGGGGGGGGGGCUGGACUGUGGAGGCUCAGUCGUCAUCGUCUAAGGACUGUCGUUGGUAAAGCCUCCAGCGGCAGAAGGUCACAGAAGGUCACCGUAGACUGCUGGGCUGAUGGAGGGAUGUUGUGGAGGUAGAACACACAGCUGAAGCUUCUAUCCAACGCCGACAGACUGGUUCUUCUCAUUCAUCAACCAUCAUAUCUUUCUGUCUCUCCAUCAUUAACUAACCCCCCCGCCCACAGCCUCCCUUUUACGGAGCAGUCUAACAUGAUCAGUCCUACCUCCAGUCUCACUCAUCACGGCCCUGGAUCAUCACCUCCGGGACAUGUGUCACUGUGCAGCUCAUAAAAUGUUUGACAUGAAGCAUGUUGAAGAUACAAACUAGUAGGAAUAAGCUAUGCCAGGUGGUGACAAACAGGAUUUACUUUAAGAAGAGUUGCUCCAUCUUUGAAUGAACAUUAUUUGUAGGGUAUUUUUUUUUGUACUUCUUUUUUCCUGCACCUCAGAACGUCUAAAAAGAUCGACUCCCACCCAGUGAGUUUGUAUUUUUAAAACAGUUUUCUGAGCCACUCAGUAACUGAACUGUUACAGGAGAUCAGCCGGAAUCUCUCCGUUAGCCUCGCUCCAUCCAAACUGAAAAAUACGACUUCAAACGGCUCCGAAACAUCAGAGCUCAAGUCUCUGUCUGCUGUCCUAACCUGGGUAACGUCCACAAACAGCAUGUCCACAAAGUGUGACUCUAACCCACAUCUGUGUAAAGCUCCAUAUCUACCGGUGAAAGCAAGGUGUUUAAUGUCCAGCUGCUAUCGGUGGUCUUUGGUUCCCAGGUGAUGAAGAUACAGAUGCACUUCACUUGGCCAUGCAGCAUGUUGCAUCGCAGCAGUAACAGGAUGUGACCACAACACGGACAUACUGUAGCAUCGCUUUUUAAGUUGAUAAAGCAAACAGUUGUUGUCACGCAAAUUAAUUUUAAUGGCACUAAUUUCUUUAACGCAUUAGAGGCUAAAUUGGCUUCACAUUUGAUGCGACCGCAGCUUUAAAUCUGUUGAUUGUUGCAGCUUCAAGGAAUCGUUCGUGUCGGCUGUGUUGCUGGUUCACCUGGUGCUUUGUUUUCUCCGUUCAGGCCGGCUCGUACCUUCAGGUGUGUCACACGCUGCGGACACACGUACAGCCACCUCUCUACCUGCUUUCACCUGUGGAUUCCGCUACCAUCAUCUGUCCGUUACCUACAGUAUACUUGACUGAUGUGGAGAGACAACGUAGUCCUGUUUAUUAAGUAUUACAUAUCGCCCAGUCAUGCGACACCUCUGAUAUGAUGGAGGUCCUCUCUGAGCUGACCUGUUAUGAAGGAGACUUUGAGUCACUAGAGAGAGAACUGCCGGGACCUUCUUGGUCAUGAAAGGUUAUCUAGAUAAUGAAGAUGCUCUGUACGAGCCUUUAUAACACUGGUACCUUGGUCAGAUUGAUCUCAGAAAAGCUUCAGCAGCUUUAGUCUGAGAGCGAGCAUUCCACGGACCUCCUGUCCAUAUUCCACGUUGGCUUAAAUGUCGACCUUCAUUCUCAACCUUGGAAAGGUUGACCUUGACAUUACAAGCUCAACUCAAGGUUGACUUGACUUGCUUGUUCUAGAGCUUCUGGUCUUGGUAACUACUGUUCCCCAGGUCACUAAUGAAGCGUCGGUAUCAGCAGUUUGUCUGACUGGACCUGAGGAAGGGACGUCUUUCUGAGCGCUGUCUUUCUUUUCCUUUCUCUGAGAACAUCACCACCGAUCUGCCGAUAGAACACCGAGGCUCCGUUCUCCACCACACGUCCUCCGCCUCCUCUUCAUCAUCCACAACUCUCCCUUCUCUAUUUUCAUUUUUCUUCUCAAACAUUCCCCCUCUUCUUCUCCCCCUCUUCUCCUCCUCCUCGCCUGCACCUUAAACCCAUCUAUUCCUUUCAAUUGAGAAACUAUCAUGAAAACCUUUAUGGAGAUUUUGUUUUUUUUGUUUUUUUCACCUGUAAAUAGUUGUACAAAAGGAAAUCCUGUCAGUUUGCUCGGAGGCAUGGAGACUACAAAUGUAACAAACUAUAAAAUGUUCAAAAUAAAAGAGAAGAUGGAAGAUUAAUAAAAGACGUUUUGAUAGGCAGACUUCUGAGAAAAAAAAAAAAGCGGUUGAGUGUAAAAAUAUUUAAGGCUGUAUCAUACGGAGAAAGAGCUUAAUGUAUUUGUUGUGAAUAUAAAAGACUGAUAUAUUAAAGAAGUGCAUGAAAACU